rnacentral:rRNA from 1 species
UCAGAUUGAACGCUGGCGGCAGGCCUAACACAUGCAAGUCGAACGGUAACAGGAAGAAGCUUGCUUCUUGCUGACGAGUGGCGGACGGGUGAGUAAUGUCUGGGAAACUGCCUGAUGGAGGGGGAUAACUACUGGAAACGGUAGCUAAUACCGCAUAACGUCGCAAGACCAAAGAGGGGGACCUUCGGGCCUCUUGCCAUCGGAUGUGCCCAGAUGGGAUUAGCUAGUAGGUGGGGUAACGGCUCACCUAGGCGACGAUCCCUAGCUGGUCUGAGAGGAUGACCAGCCACACUGGAACUGAGACACGGUCCAGACUCCUACGGGAGGCAGCAGUGGGGAAUAUUGCACAAUGGGCGCAAGCCUGAUGCAGCCAUGCCGCGUGUAUGAAGAAGGCCUUCGGGUUGUAAAGUACUUUCAGCGGGGAGGAAGGGAGUAAAGUUAAUACCUUUGCUCAUUGACGUUACCCGCAGAAGAAGCACCGGCUAACUCCGUGCCAGCAGCAGC